CGGGGUGUAGUGAAUCGGUAUCACGUUGCGUUCGGGACGCAAAGACACCGGGUUCAAUUCCCGGCACCCCGACCA
rnacentral:tRNA from 1 species